GGUCGAGACUUCCAGAGGAGCCAGGGAGCUCUCAUGUUCAAACCCUAACUAGCCUAAAUUCAAGCAAUUGGAAGGCCAAAUCACACCCAAAUUGAAAUUCAAGCACGGAUUAGUGAUCACCUCAGUGAAGUGAUCAUAAGUUUGACGCUAAACGAGCUAGGUGGAGGCUUGGGGAAGAAGCGGGUCAAACGGUUCGAGUCCGCGGAAAAGAGCAUAGCCGGAUGAAAGGUAAGUGAAACUUACGCCUUUUGUAGAAUACGAGCUUAUUCUAAAAAUCACAUAUACGAUAAAGAUAAUAUUUAAGACAUGGUUUCCGACGCGAAAUGGUAUGGGUUGGAACAUAUCAAAAGUUGGGAAAACCAUGUAUAAUGGUAAAAAGGACGAAAUGACAAUUUAAUCGUGAAAUAACAUAUGUAAAAAUGAGUUUUCAAAUGGCUACCUUAUGAGUAGGCCUAAACGGAUAAAAAGGGUAAACGAUGAUUUGAGCCACAUAUAAAUGGAUAAAAAUCGAGAUUUUAAAAGGCAUCAAGUGGCAUAAACUAUGUCGGGUUAAUCGCGUAAGAAACGGGUUAAGGACAUAACUAAAAGGUGAAAAAUUCGAAGAGAGUUACUAAAUGAAAUGGUAAAUAAAUACCAUUCAAAUUAAGCACAAAAUGUUGGUCAUUUAGACCAAACGGGUCAAAUGGUAAUUUCGAUGCCACUUAACAAACGAUGACUAAUAAGUACUUGUCAAGUCUUAUGCUUACAGGAUAAAAUGGUUUAUGAAUUAGCAAUGUUAUGGAUUAGCAUAUUAUGGAGGCAAUGUAUUGAAACGGGUCAAUAGGUUGACCCGAGCCAGGUACGUAUAAAUAUGAUUGUGGUUAAACAUACAUUUUUGGCCAAUAAGUAGCGAAAGUCCUUCGUCAUAAAAUGGGGGACUAAAUUUGACCAAAAAAACCUUUGAUGGGAAAACCGGACAAACGACCCUUAGAGAUUGUUUAGGAAUUUGAAUUAUGAUUAUGUAAUCCGUAGAUUGAAUAAAAGUUAUAGGGAUACACAUUUGUGGAUCAAAUGCCUAAAAAUGGGUCAUUUGCGUAAAAUGACCAACCAAAGGGUAAGUUUGGGAUAAUUAAUUAGUUAUGCCAAAUCCACCACAAAAAAUAGUUGUGGUGGAAUAUAAGUAAAUAUUUUAGAUGUGGAAUUACGAAGUGUGAAAAGAAAAGAGCUAGUUUUAGACUAAAUUGCUUAAAUCCCCUAAACGGUCAAAACGGAUCUAUGCGUAUAGCUUGCGUACUAGUUGCGUAAUUCAUAAGAAUUAUGAACCCGAGCUAAAGAUUUUGUGUUAAAUGCACUGGAGCAUGUAUUUUGAUUAGUUAGAAACAAGUUAGUGGUUUUAAACUUAAACGGGUCAAAAGUCUUAGUAAAUCAACUUCAAACCGAGGGCUUGAAAUCCUAUAUUUUGAGAAGUUAGAUAUCAGGUUUUAACUCCAUAAGAUGGAGAAUUAAAUUACGAUCGCGUAGGAAAAAGAAUCACGCGAAUCGGAUGAGUAGAACAAAAGUUAUGAAGUUUUAAAGUUAGGAUUUUGGUUUAAGUUUGAGUUGGGCAAGUGCAGCAACAAUUUGAGAAACAUUCUGUCGAUUUGGGGGUCUCGCGUUGCACGACAGGUGGGGGUCACCAUCGUCGCGGCACGCGACACUAGUCUCGGCACGCGACCAAACAUCAAAAUCCCGUCACGCGGCGCGACAGUUUUGAUUAUAGGUAAACGUUAGUAAGCUUACGGAUGAAGAUCAAGCUUGUUGAAGGACCAAACACAAUCAAGAUGCAAGCUCCUGCACGUUGUUUCGUCGUCAGUUUUAAACGACGAACUCACAUACAUUAUGUUGUAUUAUUAUUACAUUGUAAAAGUUUUAAAUAAACCCGUAUUUUCAUAAGUAUGUGUAAUUGUUCAUACACAUUUUUAGUUUAAAUUUACACGAAAAUCGUUAAUUAUUGGUAAGGGUCUUACAAUUCCGAAAAUAGGUUUUCUGAUACUGUAUUUCUGCUUGGUUUUUAGUUCUGAAUGGAGGGAGUGGUAGAAGAUGGAAUUAAAAUUUGCAAACCUAUCUGAUUCACAUUGUUUAUCUAUGGUUUUGAGUUGGUAAACCAAACACUAAAUCCUACUGUAUAUAUAUUAUGUUUUUUGUUCUUAUAGAUAUUGCAAGGCUGGCUCAAAAAUUUGAACAUGAGGCAAAUGUUAGCUGGGGAUUUGGAGAACAACCCAUAGGAUGAUAAGCCAAACACACAAGGUAAAACAUAAAACGAUUAGCCUUGUCCUUAUCAUGAAAAUAGUUAUUUAAUUGCAAAUAAUCAAACUUACUUUUGGUUUAUGGUUCAAGCUAGGGGUGUGCAUGGGUCGGUUUGAGUCGGUUUUUACUACUAUCCAUAACCGCUAGUUCGGUUAUGAAGUUUUGGUAACCAUAACCAUAACCAAACUUCGGUUAUGGUUAAUCGGUUAUGAAGUCGGUUAUGGUUCGGUUUUGGUUAAUUUCGGUUAAGUAACCAAGCAAGGUUUGAAAUAAAUAUCGUUGUGCACGAUUUGAACUUAGUUUGAGCCUUUUUUAUAAGAUAACGAAGACUAAACUUUUUGGUUAAACUACUGAUUUAGAGUUCUUUUUAAUAAGGUAAUUCUCAAACAAAAACAAUUAUG